UGCGCCUGAACUCUUCAGAUAACACUGC
rnacentral:piRNA from 1 species